AUAAUUAAAUAUAGAGAUAUGUGCAUUGGCAUAUCUGCUGAAUUAGGUAUACUAGGUACGAUAUAUAACAUUUCAUUACGAAGUGUUCUCAUGUCGUUGUGAAUCGCGUGAGACCGAUAGAAACACUCCUUGAGAUGAUUAUCAACACCGGAAAGCUUGCAGGCCGCACUCUGUUCAUCACAGGUGCCAGCCGUGGGAUUGGCAAGGCUAUUGCUCUCAAACUGCACAGGAUGGAGCUAACAUCGUGGUAGC